GGAACGAAUGUUCAAUUGCUUAAACCACCCCACUGGCCUAGUUUGUUGGUUAAACACUGUGUGUGUGGUCAUGCUGCUACUUAAGUUUGCAUGCUCCCGCACACACAGCUAGGUCGUGUCCACAGGAAAGUGUACCCGGUGGCCAAGUCUGGUUGGAACAGAUGGGUGUAGUGGGUGUCCCAUGUGGAUGCUCACCUGCACUCGUCUCCAAGUUGGCUCCGGUGGCCGGGAGUAAUGCACCUCCUGUGUACGGGUAUCGGUUAACAGAGACAUUUGGGGGCAUUAGUAUUUGGUCGCGAGAGGUGAAAUUCAUAGACGAUCAAAGACUAACAAUUGCGAAGG
rnacentral:rRNA from 1 species